rnacentral:lncRNA from 1 species
CCCAGGGCUUCCUUAUGCCCAAGACAUUCUAUCUUGUCUUCCCACUCAAGUUGCUCCAGAACAUCAUCCUUAAGGCUCCCAACAGAUCUAUUUUUGGCCCUUAACACUGCUGCCCUCCACCCCCCACAUCCUGACUCUUGCUUUCCAAAACCCUCUCUCUCCCAUCACACAUGGGUCCCUCCCAUCAAAUGGGUAUGUCCACUGACACUUGGGCUUCCCAGCCAUUGUCUUCCUCUGCUCUUGUCCCCAGGGACGUUUUCCAUCUCUUCCACAGGUGGGACCUGUGAACAGUAUCCUUCCCAUCUGGAGACACUUCAACUCGCAAGACUAAGGCCCCCCGGAAAUGGCCCAGUGGACCAGCAGGUGUAGCCCGCCCUCUGGUGGCCCCCAUGUUUUGAAGUCCUUUUCGUGUGCCCAGGUGGAGAGGGAAGCUGGCCCCUCACCCUGCCAGCUCCCUGGGGUAUACCCUAGCCAGAGUGGGCUCAGUUGUGUCCCCCAUUUCACCUAGCUGUUGUGAUGUGCACAGCUGCUCAGGUUUCUUCAGGGUAUUAACAGAAAAUCCCUCAGGAAUGUGAGGGCCUGUGAGCUUGUCUGGAGGUGUGGAGGGCAGGGGAAUUAGAGUGAUGUGUUUCACUUGGCAGCCAGUCUUGGCAUGGGAGGGGAAAUGGCAGAGUGAAUGCUGGCUGCUGGUGAAGGAGAAAAAGGCAGUUAGCCAGGGGUCCCGAGCACAGACAGAACAGGACGCCUGGAAUAAAGGUGGUGGUCAGAGGGGGUUUGGGGGAAUGUGAGAGCAAGACACAGCUGGGUCUGAGAUAGACUCUGGGGCCUGGGGGCUGAGAUCUUACAUCAUCAGGGUACCCAGAAAUCCAAGAAGCCUUCCUGGAAGAGGACACCCUAGCCGCUUCCCUUCUACCUCCAAAAUUCCAGACCUGCCCUGGCCAGAGAACCUGGGUGGAUGGAGUAGACACAGCCCUGCGUUCAGGUCCUCCCUGGAGCCUUGAGUGUGGGGAAGACAUGGCCUCACCCUGAAAACCUGUUACAAAGGAAGAGCUACAGGGACAGAGUGGGCAGGGCAGCCUUGCAUCUGCAUCAUUGGCGGGAGUGGCUUUGGCUCCUGAAGGGGUGGAGUCCCAGAGUCUCAGAUUGAUUCGGAGACUCUGGAGCCAGUGGACCCCCUGGGGAGGGCCCCAUCCUUCUAGCCCCCACAUGGAUUGCCCCUUUGACACCUGCCCUGGAUCGAGCAUCAGGUGUUACCUGGCCGGGCUGGUGGAGGCUGCUCAGCCAGGUUCCUCAUCCCCCGGGGCUGGCCCAGCCCCAGGUCCCCCCUUUGCUCCUUGACCUGUGCUUGCUGAGGCUGCGUAAACCAAGGGGGAUGGACCAAGACAUGCUCACAGUCUGUGGCAUGACAUAUUUCAUGGGCAGGUCUGGUCACAAACACACAUCUUGGCACACACAGGAACAAGCUCAUUCGCACAUGGGCUCAAAUGCAUGCCAGGACACAGGGCACGCACGUGACAAUGCUGUCUGCCCAGGCUGGUUUCUGCCACCUUGGCACUGCCCUCCCUCGCCCUCUGGCUCUCUCUGGCCCAGCCCAGCCAAGUACCACCCUGCCCCUACCGAUCCCCUGGAACCCCCCGUCCCUGCCCUCCUGGUCUUGGACCCUUCUUCAUGUACAUGAACACAAAGGAAAGCAAGGGAUUGUCUGCAGGCAGUUUCUAUUUUUCACACAAACUCCCCCAGAGUCUUGGGGGGAGAGAGGGCCAGGCUAUCUCCUUUGGAACAAGGGGAGUGGAGAAUACAGAGAGGGUAAAAAUAUAAGAUCUCAGUAAAUCAGCCCAUCUCCUGACUCUGCUCUCCCGCCCUCCUCCUCCUCCUUCUGUCCCUCCCCCAUCCUCCCUCCACCUCCUUAGCGUCCCCCCACCCCCCCCUGCCACACUCAGGCUCACUGCAUCCUCCUGCACCCCUGCACGCCCGCCCCCCCACCCACUGGCAAGUGCUCCCUCCUCUGGGCCUUGCCUUUGCAGGCAGGGACAUGCAGAUGAUGGUCUGUUGCCAGAAGGCUCUGGAAUGAGUGCAAACCAGAAGGGAACAUCUGUCCAGGUCUGAGCUUGGCAUUGGGACUGAGAAAGUGAACUUUCUGGACAUUUUGUGACAAUUACAAUCAUUUUAAAAAUAUUAAAAGAUUUUUGGAGAAAUGGAGAUUCUAGCCACAUGGAUAUGGCCAGAUCUUGAGUGUUCACCAAACUCUUUAACAUUUUCUGUCUCUACAAGUCCCUUGAUGGCCUGUGGCAGGAGAAAUGAAGGUGGGUGGGUAUCCCCCAUCCUGCUUGCUUUCUAUAUGCCAAGCUCUGGCUGGGUCCCAGGUGCUGCCAAGGGGGAGCGGCUCCCUCAGCCGCAAGGAAGAGACUCUCUUAGGGAAGGGUCAGCAUGAAGGUCUCAGAGCAGGGGUCUCUGCCCCAUCCAGGGCCUCACAGGAGCCCAGCUCAGACCCUGGAGAAACCCACCAACCCAAGGCCUCAGGGAUGAAGACAUCCUACUACUGACCAGCGCCACUCCAGCCAAGCACUCCUGUUAUUCCAGAAGAAGACAUUUGCCAUGAAUUUGACUCAUCUGGAUCUUCCAUUGCUGCUUCUCUUAGGGUCUAACCACUUGUCUCUUGCUAGCAACUCAUUCUCCUAACUCCCAGUUUAAAUUCUGGAGAGAGAAUUUGUUUGGCUUGGUUAAUUGCUAUUGUUCAAGGUACUGUGGUUAUAUAAAGAUUACUCUGAAAGUUAGCAACUUAAAAAAUAUUCCUGGGCAUAUGACUUACAAUUUGGGCAGGACUUGACAGGCAUAGCCCAUCUCUGCUUUACAUGGUAUCACCUGGGCUGCCUGAAGGCUGGGGGCCAGAAUCAUCUGAAGGCUCACUUUGUCAUGUUGCAGUUGAUGUCAGCUGUAGGCUGAGACCCUUGGGCUCUCGGCUGGGAAACCUACAUGGUUAGAUUAGCCAUGUCUGUCAUUUGCUAUGCUCUGAUGUUUGGACACCUUGAGGCUUUGCUGACUCUGGAGCGACUGCCCACCACUCUGCUAGAGAAAGCAAAAACUGCCUUAUAAACACGUCUUUCAUAUGCCAGCCAAUCAAUCCAGAGCCCAUUUCCCCAGCUGCAUCCUUCAUGGAGCUAUUAUACUCCAGGCCCCUAUCUCCCUAAUCACCUCAGGACCAGGUCUCAGACAAUUAGAGAUAGUCCCUCCACCCCAGAGCCCACUGCGAUUAUUCUAACUAGCCCAUCCUAAACCUGCUAAUCCUGCUCACCUGUUCCUUUCCAUGGAAACUACAGUAAAGCCUCUUGCCAGUUUUCCUCUCUCUCUGCCUCCCGACUGACCCUGGUGCUUCCCUGUGUGCCCCGACCCCAUCUCCCAGAGGCAUGGUGCUCCUCUUGGCCCUUGCUCUUGGAAACUCUGUGCAUAACAAACUGUCCUUUCAGUGGCAAUCACCUUUUGUUCUUCUGUCAUGAAUAAUAAAACACACAUUUUAAAAUGAUGGUCUCUCCAGUGGCCUGGACUUACUCACAUUGUGGUGGCUGAGGUGCCAGGGUGAGUGUCCUCCAAGAGAGAGUGAGACCCAGGAGGAAGCCAUAUGACAGUUAUGACCUAGUUUCAGAAAUUCCUCAGAGCCACUUCUACUGCCUUCUGUUCACCAUGGCAACCACCAAGUCCAGGUUCAGGGGGAAGAUAAAUGGACUCCACCUCUUGAUAGGAGGAUGGCAAGGUGAUGGAAGAGCAUGGCCAGCUUCAGAAUGUUCAGUCUGCCAAUCCUUCCUUUCUGGGCAGGGCUGUUCAUGCCAGACCACCCCUAGACCACUGGCCAGCCAGUGGUUGGGCUGUUCAUAGGUCAGAUGUUCAAACCCACCUCUAUGUUGCACUUGGACCUGAGCAGGAGGGGCUCUUGCCAAGGACCUGGUGCUUUAAGGGCUUAAUGCAUCUUCUCCUUCACGGAGUGAGAAAUUUGUAGGAUAAGGGGACAGAUGAAGACUUGAAGUCUGUAACACCCACCAGCACUGUUUUAGAACACACUCGGGGUACCCCGGGGCCCAUGAUUUCCUACUCGAGCAGCUCUGAACCCGCCUCUAAGAUCAGCAUGCAUUUCUUCACUGAAUCUGUUUCUUGGGGACAGACCUUAUCAGUGAUGAGGAAUGACCAUCAUUGGUGAGGGUGGCUGUCCACAGGGGCUGGGGGGAGGUUAAGGAUGCAGCCGGGAUGCACAGGUUGAGGAGAGUCCAGGUGUGUGGAUGUGGGGUCUGCUCCCAGGCUAGGGGUCAGAUUAGAGUGACAGCUGCCAGCCUACACCACAUCUACAGCAACGCCAGAUCCAAGCUGCAUCUGCAACCCACACCACAGCUUGCAGCAACACCAGAUCCUUAACCCAUGAGUGAGGUCAGGGGUUGAAUCUGCAUCCUCUUGGAUACUAGUUGGGUUCUUAACCUGCUGAGCCACAAUGGGAACUCCUGGGUUUAGGAUUCUUGGCCUGUGCUCACCUUGGGCUUUGGACUUACUUUCCUCAAUCAGGAAAGUACAAUCUCAGAGUGAGAAGGGCGAGGUAGCAGCAAUGUCCCCUGGAUCAGAAUGCAAACUGAUUUAACACAUCCUGGGUCUGGCAGAUUGGGCUGCACCCUCAGAUAAGACCAUCCCACAUGCUGCACGGAGGAGGAGCAUGUGGGAGGAGGCCCUGCUACUCAGAAAACCUUGAUGUGCCAAAACCCACAUUUUCCCCUCCAAUACUGGAAACACAUUUUUCUUCCUUCCUAACUUAAUUCAAGUUUAAAGUUUCUUUCUUCUGUUUUGGUCUUUUCUAGGGCUGCUCCCGUCGGCAUAUGGAGGUUCCCAGGCUAGGGGUUUGACUGGAGCUAUAGCUGCCGGCCUACGCCAGAGCCACAGCAACUCAGGACCCGAGCCACAUCUUCGACCUACACCACAGCAACACCAGAUCCUUAAUCCACUGAGAGAGGCCAGGGAUCGAACCCGCAACCUCAUGGUUCCUAGUCAGAUUUGUUAACCACUGUGCCACAACGGGAACUCCUAAAGUUUCUUUUUUCCUUUACUUAUACAAACAUAUUUUCCUCAUAGGUGGGGUUCUGAAAGAUUCUUAGAUUAACCCCGCCCCGCUGCCCUCCAUGAUGCGUUUGGCUGAGAUCAGAAGCCAGAAAGCAAGGUUGCUUGCAGCAUCUCUUCAAAGGCAGCUGAAGUGCAGGACUUCUGCCAGGGAAGGCUGCCUGGACCACAGCUGCUCUUCUUCAGUUCUGAGGACUGGGGCUUUGUUCACAUUUAAAUUCCUUUAUUACCAAAUUGAUUAUUUAUAUAAGGGCUGUCUCUGCAGCUUCCUUGUUGGUGCUAAGCUGAUUUACAAGUUCCAGAUGCGGGAAAGCAUUCUUCAGCCAUGGCAAUGGUUGUUAUCAGCAAGACCUCCCUCAAAAUCAACUCAAGAAAAUAGCUUUAAACUGGAGACUGCAAACUGGUUUUUUUUGUUGUUGUUUUAUUUUUGUUUUUUGCUUUUUAGGUCCGUACCUGCAGCAUAUGGAAGUUCCCAGGCUAGGAGUCAAAUUGGAACUGCAGCUGCCAGCCUACACCACAGCCACAGCAAUACUAGAUCCUAGCCAUGUCUGCAACCUACAUCACAACUCAUGGCAACACUGGAUCCUUAACCCACUAAGGGAGGCCAGGGAUUGAACCUGAGUCUUCAUGGAUGCUAGUCGGGUUCUUAACCCACUGAGCCCCAAUGGGAACUUCUGUUGUUGUUUUUGUUUUUAAAUAAUUAUAGACUAACAGAAACUUUGUAAGAAUAAAGAAUUCUUGGAGUUCCCGUCAUGGCUCAGUGAUUAACGAAUCCAACUAGGAACCAUGAGGUUGAGGGUUCGAUCUCUGGCCUUGCUC